rnacentral:lncRNA from 1 species
CAAAUAUGUUUACAACAGCACACUGUUCAAGAGGAAGUCGCGGUCUUCCCGGCACACAGGUUGAAUCGCCGCUGCGCCCACCCGGGGCCCCACCCCACGCCUGAGAACUCCUCCUGGGAUGGGGAGAAGUUGGAAGAGGGACACGGACGAGGGGAACGGGGGUGGCGCCCCAGCCGCUCCCCACAGAGCUCCUUUUCUAUUGAGAGGAAAAAGCAGGGAUCAGACCAGGGUGGCGGGGAGGGGGGCGAUGGACAGCUGACGGCGAAGCUAGAGGAAGCGCCCCGGACGGGAGGGGUGGGGCGAGGCCGCCGGGUGCAGGAAAGGGGCCACCCCUCCCCGGGCGACUCUGGCCUUGAACCCUGGGCCGUGGGUGGGGGUGGGGGGUGCCGGGCUUGGCCUUUUGCACGUCCUUCUGCACAGUGUGUCUUCCCAACUGAGCUGCAAGGAGGCUGGGCGUUAAAAAUCUAGCUGAGAAUAAAACGGAGUUUGGGGGAGAAGGCUGCCAGGAGACCCUGGGCUUGCAGCUCCCCCUCUUUCUUUUGGGGGGGGGCGGUGUCUCCUCUUUGGCAGGGAGAGGGGCAGCUGCUUUGUCUGGUUCCCCAAGCCCAAGUGUGAACAAAGGUGUGUUGGGGAAGAGGGUGGGGGCUUCUAGAAGGGGCCCAGACCAUUCCUGGUUCAGCAGGGGGACCCCCAGGGGAGGGGGUGUGUAUGUGGGGGGGAGACGAGCAGCUCAGGGCUGAGGUCCCAGGAACCCCGGCUCCUUCCUUAGUAAAGUCCAUCUGCUUCCCAACCUUGAAUAAAAUGGAUUUGGAGAGGGGAGGGACAUGGGGGAGCGGGUAUGGGCAGGGGGAGAGGGAGGGAGGCACUGGUGGAACUUAAAUAAUAUUUUAAAUGGUUUUCUUAAAAAUUCUAGCAAGCAGUCCUCUGCACAUGACACUGAAAUGUCUUCUUUCCUGGGCAGGAUUGCUCUGGAGGGGAGGCUGGCUGUUCUGUCCACUGGCCCCUAGCGAGCGAUGCCUGAGGUUUGGGGGGGGGGGGGGGGCCCAUGCCGGGGUCACUUGGCCUGCCCCGAGGUUAACGGCUUGGGCCAGCUGCGAUGGCCCUGGUGGCCGUGCGUCUUGGGGACCGGAGGACAGAGCUGCCCUUGACCCCUGGAUGUUCCUGGGAUGGACUGCACCCCGAGGGGCCCUGCCUGUUCUCCAUGUGUGCCCACCCGCAAACACACCAAAGGCCCUUGCCCGGUGUCCCCGGGGUGCCCCUGCUGUGUUUGGAGAGAAGGAUCCUUUGUGGGGUCAGGAGUGGCAGAGAGGCCUGGCUCAGAGGGGUGGCAGCGUCUGGCUGGGGGACCUGGGGCUGAGUCACACCCGAGGACUUGCGGCAGCUUCCUCUGACACCUACCCUCUCGGGACUCUACCUUCCCCCACAUACAAGGAAGAGAGGAGCCCGGCUUGGGAGGAAACCAAGAGAGUGGCUAGGCCGGCUGGCCUCCUUUAUCUCUAAAGUCCCUGCAAGUUCUGCCCUUUCCUCAGUGGCUGCU